rnacentral:rRNA from 1 species
UACGUAGGGUGCAAGCGUUAAUCGGAAUUACUGGGCGUAAAGCGUGCGCAGGCGGUGAUGUAAGACAGAUGUGAAAUCCCCGGGCUCAACCUGGGAACUGCAUUUGUGACUGCAUCGCUGGAGUGCGGCAGAGGGGGAUGGAAUUCCGCGUGUAGCAGUGAAAUGCGUAGAUAUGCGGAGGAACACCGAUGGCGAAGGCAAUCCCCUGGGCCUGCACUGACGCUCAGGCGCGAAAGCUAGGGGAGCGAACAGG